rnacentral:rRNA from 1 species
UUCUGGCUCAGGAUGAACGCUGGCGGCGUGCCUAACACAUGCAAGUCGAACGAAGCACUUCUGAUUGGAGAUUCGUCGAAGAUUGGAUUGACUUAGUGGCGGACGGGUGAGUAGUGUAUGAGCAACCUGCCUUUCAGUGGGGGACAACAGUUGGAAACGACUGCUAAUACCGCAUAAUGUAUUGAGAGGGCAUCCUUUUGAUACCAAAGGAGCAAUUCGCUGAAAGAUGGGCUCAUAUCUGAUUAGUUAGUUGGCAGGGUAACGGCCUACCAAGACUUCGAUCAGUAGCCGGACUGAGAGGUUGAACGGCCACAUUGGGACUGAGAUACGGCCCAGACUCCUACGGGAGGCAGCAGUGGGGAAUAUUGGGCAAUGGGCGAAAGCCCUGACCCAGCAACGCCGCGUGAAGGAAGAAGGUCCUCGGAUUGUAAACUUCUUUUAUGAGGGACGAAGGACGUGACGGUACCUCAUGAAUAAGCCACGGCUAACUACGUGCCAGCCGCCGC